UCCCAUAGCCCCGCUCUCCCCCAACCUAAGCCCCUCCCUCACCCCAUCUAGCCCACUACCCCCAUAGCCCUUUCUCACCCUACCCCCCGUCACCCAUAUCCCCCCCACCCCAUAGCCCUUCCUGACCCAUAGCGGCCUCCCCACCCGCCAUAGCAUAGGCCACCCCAUACCCCCUCCCUACCCCAUAGCUCACCCCCCACCCCAUAAGCCCUUCCUGAACCCAUAGCGGACCCCACCCCAUAUCCCCCUACCCACCCAUAGCCCCCCCUCACUCCAUAUCCCCCCCACCCCAUAGCCCCUCCCCACCCCAUAGCCCUUCCUCACCCAUAGGCCCCAUAGCACCCCAUAGCGCCCCCCCCACCCCAUAGCCCCCCUCACCCCAUAGCCUCCCUGACCCCAUAGCCCCUCCAACCCCAUAGCCUCCCCCCACCCAUAGCCCCUCCCCACCCCAUAGCCCCCCCUCACCCCACACCCCCCCCCCCCAGUUUGAGCUCUAUGUGGGUUUGGACAGGGCCUGUUCUCCCCUUUUCCCCCAUAGUGUCGUUGUCCUGGAUAAAGUCACCGGAUUUCCUUCCUUUUUCUCGGCAAACUGCUCAUCGUGGGGCCGGGUGUCCGGGGUCCUGGCCUUCUUCUUCUUCACGCACCGCAUCCAACUGGUGGAGGACACGGCGCCGACGCUCAACUACUAUUGGGUGCCCAUCAUGACGGUUCUAUUGGGCUCGUACCUCAUUGCUCACGGGUUCCUCAGCGUCUUUGGGAUGUGUGUGGACACCUUGUUCCUCUGCUUCCGUGAGUGACCCAUGGGACCCACAUCCCCCAUAGGGCUGCCCCAUGGGACCCACAUCCCCUAUAGGGCUGCCCCAUGGGACCCACAUCCCC
rnacentral:lncRNA from 1 species